GGGCGCGGGGCUGGGGCGGGGCUGCGCGUGCCAUCUCCUGAAAUCGCCGCGGGCGCGGGCCUCAUUCCUCAGAUGUGCAUUCUCACAUGGACAUCUUAUAAACGUCAUCAUUUCCCCAUUGUGAGCAUCAAAAGCUUCAUCAGAUGCUCUUCAUGCAAAUCGCAGACUCUUCAGUCUCCAGCGCAGAUCCUCUGGCCUCCUGAUACAAACUUGCAUGGACACUACUGUGAGCCCCAGGUCUUCAACUGGAUCCUUCAAAUCUCCAAGGCACAGACAGACAUUUUGCAUCUUCCACACCUGACUCUGGGUGGCCACUGUAAGCUAAUCUUGUAAAUUCUUAUGUAUUUGUAUAUCUUGCAUUAAAUCUGCUUUUCUAGUAAGCACUGACUGAUAUACCACAUAUUAUCCCAUACUUAUAAACCCAACUGCAACCGCUGCUUCCACUUGUCC
rnacentral:lncRNA from 1 species